CGAUUUUUUGGAUCAGAAAUCCUCAGAAAACUUAUAUUUUGUCCCCCAAGGGUGGGGCAUUUGCGUCAAUGUAAGUCCCCAAGGGUGGGGAUUUUGUUGCAUUAUUUGGACCCCAUACUGGGGCAUUUGCAACGUUUUUCGCCAAAAUGACAAAAGCCCGACAAACGCCCGGGGGGUGUUGGGCACCCAUGGAAUUGAUUGAGACAUAAAACUAGAAAUUGUACUAAAUAUAUAUAUAGAAACAAAUAUAUCCGAAGAUUUCUAAUCCAUGCAGGCACAACAUGAUUACAAAUCAUCUGACAUAUUUGUUGAAGUUAUCCUGGUUUUAUCGAGCAUUCAACAGGGUUCUUCGAAACAUAUAUAUUCACAGCACUUCGCACAAGCACAAAUAUACUUAUCAACUUCAGCAUUACCAUAUAAAAGGCAUGAAAUAUUAUGCGUGCAAUAUCCCACCUCCAAGUCAUUACUUCCUGGCAUAUAUAAGCACAGAUAUGAGAGGUACACGUGUAAAAACGCACAGUCAAGUUGUAACAAACCUGCAGCAGACUUGUAGCAAUGCUGUUCCAACAACUUGUCAACAGGAUGUGUUCGCACUGCUUGUUCCCAGCUUGUUGACAACUUGCUAAAAGGUUGUUGAGUUCAACAGACUUGUUACAAGUUGUUCCAACAACUUGUUAUCGUCCCGCAAUUCAACAAUUUGUCAACAAGUUGUGAGUGACAACAUUGUAGCAACUUGAUAAAAUAACAGCAUUGUUACAACUUGUUGACAAGCUUGCUACAAGCCUGUUGCGAACACAUCUUGUUGACAAGUUGUGAGAUUUUUACGUGUGUAGGUCGAAAUACCUUCGCCAGUCACGUGAACACACAUAAAAAUACAGAUGUUUCAUCCGCGUUAGUGUCAGCACGAUAAUUCAGAAACUAUCUGAGUAAAAAACUAUCGAUAUUUUGUGGACUGACUUGAUCAAAAUAAAGUGAAAACCGAACAAGAAAGGCCGUUGUUUUCAAGUCAUUUCGAACACUUGUUGAACUAUGCCAGGA
rnacentral:lncRNA from 1 species